rnacentral:rRNA from 1 species
CCUGCCCACUGAAAAAUUUUAAAUGGCCGCAGUAAUUUGACUGUGCAAAGGUAGCAUAAUCAUUAGUUUUUUAAUUAAAAGCUUGUAUGAAAGGUUGGACGAGGUAAAAUCUGUCUCUAUUUAAAUUAAAAUAGAAUUUAAUUUUUAAGUUAAAAAGCUUAAAUAUUAUUAAAAGACGAGAAGACCCUAUAGAGCUUUAUAAUUUUUAAAGUAAAAUUUAUAAAGAAUAGUUUACGUCUUAUUUUAAUAAAUUAUUUUAUUGGGGUAAUAGAAAGAUUAAAUAAAUUCUUUUUGAAUAUUAACAUUGAUUUAUGAUUUAUAUGAUCCAAUUUUAUUGAUUAUAAGAUUAAGUUACCUUAGGGAUAACAGCGUAAUUUUUUUAAAGAGUUCAUAUCGAUAAAAAAGUUUGCGACCUCGAUGUCGGAUUAAAAAUUAUUUUAGGUGUAGAAGCUUAAAAUUUUGGUCUGUUCGACC